AAUAGUGCAGCCCGAUAUACUUUGUGAGAAAUCAAAUGUAGAAAUUGAUUCAAGUAGUAAUGACAAAGUGGAGCAUAAUGAUAUUGCUAGAGGAAGUUCAUCAUGUGAGAGACUUUUCGUUGAAGCUGAUGCAAUGACCAACAUUCAGAACAUAGAUUCAAAGAACAAGUGCACAAUAGCGAGGCUAGAAAAAGAUUAUGGGAUUACUCGCGAGAUUCUAGAGCAGCAUUUUGGGAAGACACGGUUGAAGCUGAUGCAAUGAACAACAUUCAGAACAUAGAUUCAAAGAACAAGUGCACAAUAGCUAGGCUAGAAAAAGAUUAUGGGAUUACUCGCGAGAUUCUAGAGCAGCAUUUUGGGAAGACUCUUGUAGAUGCUGCCAAGACACUACAUGGUAAGUUCACACUAGUGCAUAUAUUUGAGGAUUGUAUCUCUUUUCAUGUUAUUAAAACUUGCUCCUUUUUAGUUUAUCUGAACCUUUUCACUAUUCGAGAUUCAAACUCUGUA
rnacentral:lncRNA from 1 species